CACGUAGGGCGCGAGCGUUGUCCGGAAUUAUUGGGCGUAAAGAGCUCGUAGGCGGCCUGUUGCGUCCGCUGUGAAAGCCCGGGGCUUAACCCCGGGUCGGCAGUGGAUACGGGCAGGCUAGAGGUAGGUAGGGGAGAAUGGAAUUCCCGGUGUAGCGGUGAAAUGCGCAGAUAUCGGGAGGAACACCCGUGGCGAAGGCGGCCAUCUGGACCAGCACUGACGCUGAGGCACGAAAGCGUGGGGAGCAAACAGG
rnacentral:rRNA from 1 species